UAUAUAUAUAUGGAGCAAUUAAAAUUGCAAUUACAUCUCAAUUGCUUUCUCUUUGCUACAGGUUCAGCAACCUGUUCUUAUUUAUCCCGGAGCAUACCGGAAAGUUACCAUUGAGCUUAAGAUUAAUCACUUGGCUGUAAAUGCUCUUUUGAAGAGCAGCCAGAUUAAUGAGAUGGAAGGAGGCACUAUACUUGGUUUUGACCUGGAUAGUCAUUCAGGAGGGCAGUUUGCUAAUGAACCCACUGGUCUUGAUGAUGCCAUCUCCUGUGCACCUGCUUUUCGUGCUCUAAAACAAUUGAUACAAAGAUGUAUUUCAGAUGCAGUCACAUCUGGAAACCGUUUUGCUGAUGUGCUAUUGCAAAAUCUUUAUCGGUGGCUUUGCAGCCCACACUCAAAACUUCACGAUCCCACGCUUCAUCGUGUUCUACAGAAGGU